AUUGAACGCUGGCGGCAGGCCUAACACAUGCAAGUCGAACGAGUGGCGGACGGGUGAGUAAUGUCUGGGAAACUGCCUGAUGGAGGGGGAUAACUACUGGAAACGGUAGCUAAUACCGCAUACCAUCGGAUGUGCCCAGAUGGGAUUAGCUAGGAGGUGGGGUAACGGCGCACCUAGGCGACGAUCCCUAGCUGGUCUGAGAGGAUGACCAGCCACAAUGGAACUGAGACACGGUCCAGACUCCUACGGGAGGCAGCAGUGGGGAAUAGUGUACAAUGGGGGCAAGCCUGAUGCAGCCAUGCCGCGUGUAUGAAGAAGGCCUUCGGGUUGUAAAGUACUUUCAGCGGGGAGGCGUUACCCGCAGAAGAAGCACCGGCUAACUCCGUGCCAGCAGCCGCGGUAAUUC
rnacentral:rRNA from 1 species